UGGCAGUGCCGCCAACCACUUCCACCGAUUUGGUGGGCCAAGUUCGCGGACGCUGCCAGAACGCCUGCGAUUGUCCUGGUUACUUGCGGCCUUCAGAUGCUUUUUCGUAUUCGCAAUGCCCUCCUGGUUGGUGCAUUACGUGCGGCCAUCCACCAGCGGAUCACGGCGCUAUGGGGCCUCUUCGAGACGCUAGCUGUACAGGCACGUCGCAAGCGCACGUAACAGAGCAGUACGCUGAAAGCCGUCGUUUUGGUCCAUUUCCGACGGCCUUCCAGAAAGAGAGUAGUCAACGUA